rnacentral:rRNA from 1 species
UACGUAGGGGGCUAGCGUUGUCCGGAAUCAUUGGGCGUAAAGAGCGUGUAGGCGGUCCGGUAAGUCCGCUGUGAAAGUCGUGGGCUCAACCCUCGAAUGCCGGUGGAUACUGUCGGGCUAGAGUGCGGAAGAGGCGAGUGGAAUUCCUGGUGUAGCGGUGAAAUGCGCAGAUAUCAGGAGGAACACCUAUUGCGAAGGCAGCUCGCUGGGACGUAACUGACGCUGAGACGCGAAAGCGUGGGGAGCAAACAGG